GACGAACGCUGGCGGCGUGCUUAAUACAUGCAAGUCGAACGGAAAGGCCCGGCUUUUGCUGCUUUCUCGUUUGCGGAAGGGGGGAGUAAAACGCGUGUAACCUGCCCUUAUCUUUGUGGUAACUUCUGGAGACUGGGGCGAAAAUCCGGUAGAAUCUCUUGCUGCAUGUGGGGGGUUGGAAAAUGUCGGCGGUGGGGGAUGGACUCGCGGCUUAUCAGCUUGUUUGUGGGGUAGUGGCUUCCCAGGGCUUUGACGGGUAGCCUGCCUGAGAGGGUGACCGGCCACAUUGGGACUGAGAGAGGGACCAGAAUCCUACGGGACGCAGCAGUGGGGAAUAUUGCACAGUGGGCGGAGGCCUGAGGCAGCAACGCCGCGUGCGGGAUGCCCGCUUUCGGGUUGUAAACCGCUUUCGCCUGUGACGAAGCGUGAGUGACGGUAAUGGGUAAAGAAGCACCGGCUAACUACGUG
rnacentral:rRNA from 1 species